GCGAAGGUGGCGGAAUUGGUAGACGCGCUAGCUUCAGGUGUUAGUGUCCUUACGGACGUGGGGGUUCAAGUCCCCCCCCUCGCCCCC
rnacentral:tRNA from 1 species